rnacentral:sRNA from 1 species
GAGUCCAUUUUUUUCAAUCUAUAGUUGACGCAGAAUCUUUGCUGGAGUCUAAUUAUAUUAUUAAAAAUGA